rnacentral:piRNA from 1 species
GCCUGAUUAGGGGCUGAGGAUGG